UGGCUAUAAUUGGUAAAAAAUGUUUUUAAGUGGUUAAAUGAGGUUUUUAUCACUUUUUACUUGGAUUUUGUGUAUUUUGACAGUUUUGACACAUUUUCGUAUUUCGGCUAUAACUUGAGCUACAGUGAUCGGAUUAAGAUGAUUCUUGAACCAAUUUGAAGAUAAGAGAUAGAUCUACAACUUUGGUGAAGACAUCUAAAUCCAGUUUGAAGGUUUUCCAGGUCAAAAUGCCGAAUUACAAUAGCAAAUUUCUACUGGUCGAAACUGGAACAGGGCAAUGAGCAGGUAAGGGUAUUUCGGUCAUUUCUCAGCCUACACAGAUCCAAAUGAGGUGAUUCUUGAUGCAUUGGAAAGCUAACGCAAAGGGCUACAAGUUUUAUGUUUUGGUCAAGAGCUAAAUCAGCUUUUAUCAUCAAGAAAAGUUUAGUUGAAGUUGAGUCAAAAUCGGAGCAGAGCUGGA
rnacentral:lncRNA from 1 species